rnacentral:lncRNA from 1 species
AUAUUUAUCAUGCAAUUUAUUAUAUUUUAUAUUAAAUUAUUCAGAAAGUUUUUUUGUUUUAAAAAUUCGGUAUUAACUAUUCUAACAGUCAAUACAUCAUUCAAAAUUGCAGACAAAAGCCAUCGAUUUUCAAACGUGCUUUCGAGUGUAAGAGAGGGGGAAAAAGAAAAUAUUACCAACCAAACUGUGUACUAUAAACUUCACUCAUUUCCCGCAGUGAAUGGAAGUGCUGGCAAUAACCUUACAGUCUUUACGAGCUGCACAGUCUCUCUCAACUCUCAAUGUUUCUAGCCAAGUAUUGAUUACUUUUGCCUGCUUCGGUCGCUCGUCUGCAGAUGGAAAUAUAUAGAAUUUUUCGACGCCAAUCAAAAUAUGAAAUUGUAUAUUUUUAAUCGAAUUUUUUUCCGACGUCGAAUCUUCGUUAAUACGCCCCGAAUUGGGUUAAAAUACGUUAUUUCUUUUAACCGAGACACGAAAAGGGGUACAAAACGUUUAUUGAUCAAAUUGAUAUUACGUCACCUCGGUUCCGAAAUUAAGGCCAUCGCUCCUAAUUUGCAAUAUUAAGCUUGUCCCGAAAAACUUUCUAGUUCUUGUCUCUCGUUCCGUUUACUGAAAAAAAAGUGCUUCGUCGGAGUCCAAUUGCUCCCAACUCGCUAUUAAUUAUCAAUUAGUCGGCUGAAUGGCGUUACGCAUCUCUAGAGAUUCAAAAGUGAAAUCUGAUUCACUCCUCUUCACUCGAUUAACAGUGAAAAUGUCAAAACUUCGUUGUUUUUCGGAAAAGCAACGUUGACAUUUGAAUUUUUAGUUAAAGUAUUUGUCUUCCAAUCGAUUCAACCGAUGGGAGUGUUAAAUUUCCGUAAUGUUGACCCAAUGUAUCUCUGUUAGAACGCGAAACCAAUUUUCUUUAAUGUGUUUGAUUAUAAACUCAAAAACUAAAUUCUUAGUUAAAUAUAUACUCGUAUAUACAUUCUGUAGAGAUACACAUAUUUAAUGCGGAGUCAUAUCCUUCAAAAUUUAUCGUUGUUUACCGAUGAAUUCGCUAUAAUCAAACGAAAAAAGAACUCCCCCAUUACAACACAUCAAUCGGGACUAAGAAUAUUGAUUCUCAGAUAUCCUUUUACAGACUGAAUAUUCUCUUCGUCCGGAUGACAUUAUAACCAUUAAACUUAAUGACGAAGGUUAGUACCUCGUUUAAACAUAGUUGAAAACAUUCUCUAAAUGCGAAUUCCCUUAGAAAUAAUUAAAUUUUAAAAAGUUGACUUGUAUUUAUCGUCAUUGAAACUAUUUCGAUUAUUAAAGUUAUAUGUUGCAUAUUUCAAUAAAAUGAUAUCACAGUAAUAUUUAAGAAAGUUAAUCGAAUUUUUACUUCUCGGCAAAAAGUAGUAGACAACCUUGAAAAAAAAAUGUUUUGGGCGGCCUCCGAAGGUCAAUAUAUGACACUUACCGGCAAUAUAUCAUUCGUAUAAAUUAUGACGUCAUUCAGUCUCCUGCACGGGGUGCAUCGAACUGGGAUACGGUAAUUCGAGGUUACUCCACGAGUAGUAUCUCAACGAAGGUUUUAUAAGAUAAAAAUAACUCAACCUUACGUGUUUGUAGGAAAAACGAUUCGCUUCCUCGGGGGGGAUAAGGACUUGACCGCCAUAGUUCUAGUUUGUAAUGAACUUGGUACUAAUAAUCUAAAGGCCGAGGCUAUGAAGUUACCGAAAGGGAAAAAUAGAGAGAGGCAAUAACCCGAUUCUCUCGUACUUUCACCUCUACAGUAAACGAACUUUGUGACUAAGAGAAAAUUCUUGAUUAAAAUAUGAACGGAUUUACCCUAUAAAAUAUUUUGUUUUCUGUAAAUAAAAAAGAAAUAUGAUAAAAGUCAUAAAGCAAUUUUAACAUUCUUGGAAAGAAUAGCAGUACCAGGAAAUCAUUAUUUAAUACUUUCGCUUCCAAUUACGUAAUUGGAUAUUAGAAGCUUGAUCGGAUUUUUUUUUUUUUUUAAUUCCGGAGACCAGUUUGUCAUGUGAAGAAUUAAUGAUAUGCUUUAAAAUAAAAAAAAAUAAU